AUGCACUGGGGUGUACUGGGAUGUACUGGGAGUGCACUGGGAUGCACCAGCCCAGCCCCACAGCUCAGGCACUCAGGCACAGAUGUCCCAGCAGAGAGGGUCCUCAGGAUCCAGCCCUGGGCUCAGGGCAGUGAUGGGCUCCUCAAAUCUGGGAAGGGCUCAGAUCCAACCCUGUGUCACUCACCAGCCACUGGGGCAGCUGCAAGGCACCAGGGUCCCACAUCUCCCACGGAGAAUCCUUGCAGGCUCCCAGCUGGGAAUGCACUGGGGUGUACUGGGAUGUACUGGGAGUGCACUGGGAUGCACCAGCCCAGCCCCACAGCUCAGGCACUCAGGCACAGAUGUCCCAGCAGAGAGGGUCCUCAGGAUCCAGCCCUGGGCUCGUUCUCAGGGUGCUCCAAAUCCCAGAUCUGGGAAGGGUUCGGAUCCAACCUCACACUCAGGGCAGUGAUGGGUUUCUCAUUCCUGCUCCAAAUCCCAAAUACAAGAAAGGCUCAGAUCCAGUCCCACAUUCAGGGCUCCUCAUUCCUGCUCCAAAUCCCAAAUCCAGGAAGAGCUCAGAUCCAGCCCCGUGUUCAGGGCAGUGGUGGGUUCCUCAUUCCUGCCCCAAAUCCCAAAUCUGGGAAGGGCUCAGUUCCAGCCCCACAUUCAGGGUGCUCUAAAUCCCAAAUUCAGGAAAGGCUCAGUUCCAGCCCUUCACUCAGGAUUCCUCAUUCCUGCCCCAAAUCCCAAAUCCAGCAACUCCCCAAUUCCCAAGGAAGAUUCCCAGCAAGGAAAGAAAGAUUAUCAAGAAAGAAUAAGAGAUUCCUGAGAAAGAAUGAGAGUCCCAAAAAAGAGACUCCCAAAAAAAAAGAGAUUCCCAAAAAAAAGAGAUUCCCAAAAAAGACUCCCAAAAAAAGACUCCCAAAAAAAAAGACUCAAAAAAAAAAGAUUGCCAAAAAAGAGAGACUCCCCCCAAAAAAAGACUCCCAAAAAAGAGACUCCCAAAAAAACAAAGACUCCCAAAAAAAAGAGAUUCCCCCCCCCCCCCCCCCCCCCCCCCCCCCCCCCCCCCCCCCCCCCCCCCCCCCCCCCCCCCCCCCCCCCCCCCCCCCCCCCCCCCAAAAAAAAAAAAAAAAGACUCCCAAAAAAAAGACUCCAAAAAAAGAUUCCCCAAAAAAAAAGAGAAUCCCAAAAAAGACCCCCCCAAAAAAAUUCCCAAAAAACAGAUUCCCAAAAAAGAGACUCCCAAAAAAAGAUUCCCCAAACAAAGAGACUCCCAAAAAAAAGAGAAUCCCAAAAAAGACCCCCCCAAAAAUUCCCAAAAAACAGAUAUCCCAAAAAAGACCCCUCCAAAAAUUCCCAAAAAACAGAUUCCCAAACAAAGAGACUCCCAAACAAAGAGACUCCCAAACAAAGAGACUCCCAAACAAAGAGACUCCCAAACAAAGAGACUCCCAAAAAACCAGAUUCCCAAAAAAGAGACUCCAAAAAAAAAGACUCACAAAAAAAAAGACUCCAAAAAAAAAGAUUCCCAAAAAAAAAAGACUCCCAAAAAAACAGAUUCCCAAAAAAGAGACUCUCAAAAAAAGAGACUCCCAAGAAAACUCUCAAAAAAAAGAUUCCCGAAAAAGACUCCAAAAAAAAUUCCCAAAAAAGAGACUCCCAAAAAACAGACUCCCCCCCCCCCCCCCCCCCCCCCCCCCCCCCCCCCCCCCCCCCCCCCCCCCCCCCCCCCCCCCCCCCCCCCCCCCCCCCCCCCCCCCCCCCCCCCCCCCCCCUCCCAAACAAAGAGACUCCCAAAAAAAAGAUUCCCAAAAAAGAAACUCCCAAAAAAGAGACUCCCCAAAAAACAGAGAUUCCCAAAAAAAGAGAGAUUCCCAAAAAAAGAGAGAUUGCCAAAAAAAGGAAGAAAGACUCCCAAGAAAGGGAGCCCCCCCCCCCCCCCCCCCCCCCCCCCCCCCCCCCCCCCCCCCCCCCCCCCUCCCAAGAAAGAAAGAUUCCCAAAAAAGAAAGAUUUCAAAAUAAAAAAAGAUUUCCAAACAAGAAAGAUUCCCAAAAAAAGAAGGAAGAUUCCCAAAGCAAAAAGAUUCCCAAGAAAUCCCAUUUUUAUCCUGGUUGCCACGGUGACUGGAAUUCCAUCAGUGCCUCCUGACUCCACACCAAUAAGAAAAUAAAAAAGGAAAAGAAAAUAAAAGGAAAUCAGAUAAAAAGGAAACUGGCAGAACAUCAGCGCUGAAAAUCAGAUUUUUAACCAACUGAAAAAAAGCCUGGAUAUUGAGAAAAAAAAAAAAAAGGAAAAAAUAGGAAAAUACCUCCCAAAAUACCCCCAAAAUUCCAGGAAAAUCUCAAUUUUAUCCACAUGGAAUUGCUGGAUGAGCCUAAGCACAACCACAAUUAAAUAAAUUAAAUAUUGUUUUGCUUAGUUUUAUUAUCAGGGAAAAAUAUGAAAUCAUAUCAUGAUAUCACAUCAAAAGGUGCAGGAAGAAUUAUUCCUGGGAGAAUAAAAUGUGGAAUAUCAAACAUGGAAAACUGGUUUGUGAGGAAGAGAUUUCCAAAUUUCUCUCGUAGAGGAAGAUUAAAA
rnacentral:lncRNA from 1 species